UGAACCCUAAUGUAAAUUAUGAACUUUAGUUAAUAAUAAUGUUUCAAUAUUGGUUCAUCACUUGUAACAAACGAACCACACCAAUGCAAGAUGUUGAUAAGGGGAAACUG